rnacentral:rRNA from 1 species
AUUGAACGCUGGCGGCAGGCCUAACACAUGCAAGUCGAACGGUAACAGGAAGAACCUUGCUUCUUUGCUGUCGAGUGGCGGGGGGGUGUGACAUGUCUGUGACACUCCUUGAUGGAGGGGGUUACCUACUGGAAACGGUAGCUAUUACCGCAUAAUGUUUCAAGAGCAAAGAGGGGGAGUUUCAGGCGGCUUUCCAUCCGCUGUGCCCAGAUGGCGGUUGGGAUUAGCUAGUAGGUCAGGUAACGGCUUACCUAGGCGACGAUGCGUAGCUGAGCUGAGAGGGUGACCAGCCACACUGGAACUGAGACACGGUCCAGACUCCUACGGGAGGCAGCAGUGGGGAAUAUUGCGCAAUGGGCGCAAGCCUGAUGCAGCUAUGCCGCGUGUGUGAAGAAGGCCUUCGGGUUGUAAAGUACUUUCAGCAGGGAGGAAGGGAGGAGAGUUAAAACCUGCGCUUAUUGACGUUACCCGCAGAAGAAGCCCCGGCUAACUCCGUG